rnacentral:rRNA from 1 species
GACUGUGAACCUCACCCUGCCCAUGUUUGCCUCAGUCUUAAGAGAUGUACUUUGUCUCAGAAGUUAAGCAGGGUCAGGCCUGGUUAGUACUUGGAUAGGAGACCACCUAAGAAGACCAGGUGGUGUAGGCA